UCUGCAGUAUCACCUGAAGUCCAACAGAGGUCCCUGUCUAAUCGGGCUUUCACCUGCCCGGGGCAGCAGGGCACGGUACGACUGAAGUGCAGAGUUGGGGGCCCGUUAAAGGACUUACCUCUCUGGUAGCAGACGCUGCAGAGGACAUGGCCACAGGUCGUCACGGCCAAUUUUCGGGCAGCACUGGGGGGGAGGAAGCACGCGUUGCAGCAGAUCCAGUCUCACCAGCCUUUCUCCAGCAAAGACAGAAAACCUUGUGGAGUUGGUUUGGAAGCAAAGGUAGUGCUGACCAGAGGCGUGAGCUGUGAAGGUGAAUUUACCAAAUUUACCAUAGCGUUUGGUCAUCAGAACCUAAAAAGAAGGAAAGACACUCUGAAGACAAAAUUUUUUCAGAUUGACACCAAAGUGAGGGGAGUGGGUGAACGUCUUCAAAUCCCAAGGCUCCAACAAGAAAUGGCCUGAAGGACUCACCGGUCACCAGCAUGUCUUCAGGAAUCUCCUCAAUGAUGCAUUUUUCCUCCUGCUCUCCAAGAUCAAAAUACAUGGCUGCUGCAACCAUCAGGAGUUGAACCCUCUGUUGUUGUAGCCCAUCCGCCUUAACGUUUGACACGUUGUUCAUCCUGAGAUGCUUUUCUACUCACAACAGCUGUAAAGAGUGGUUAUCUGAGUUAUCGUAGCCUUUCUGUCAGCUGCAACCAGUCUGGCCAUUCUCCUCUGACAUCUCUCAUCAACAAGUCAUAAGCAGUUGUCUGGGAAGCACUUCCUGUCUUCCUCCAGCAGGGGGCAGGCUGCUCCAUUGUUGGCCGGAUGCAUGAGGAUGUAGCGUGUGCGGUGCUGCACGCCCGA